rnacentral:rRNA from 1 species
UACGAAGGGGGCUAGCGUUGCUCGGAAUCACUGGGCGUAAAGGGUGCGUAGGCGGGUCUUUAAGUCAGGGGUGAAAUCCUGGAGCUCAACUCCAGAACUGCCUUUGAUACUGAGGAUCUUGAGUUCGGGAGAGGUGAGUGGAACUGCGAGUGUAGAGGUGAAAUUCGUAGAUAUUCGCAAGAACACCAGUGGCGAAGGCGGCUCACUGGCCCGAUACUGACGCUGAGGCACGAAAGCGUGGGGAGCAAAUGGG